rnacentral:rRNA from 1 species
AUUGAACGCUGGCGGUAUGCCUAACACAUGCAAGUCGAACGGCAGCACAGUAAGAGCUUGCUCUUACGGGUGGCGAGUGGCGUACGGGUGAGGAAUACAUCGGAAUCUACUUUUUCGUGGGGGAUAACGUAGGGAAACUUACGCUAAUACCGCAUACGACCUACAGGUGAAAGCAGGGGAUCUUCGGACCUUGCGCGAUUGAAUGAGCCGAGGUCGGAUUAGCUAGUUGGCGGGGUAAAGGCCCACCAAGGCGACGAUCCGUAGCUGGUCUGAGAGGACGAUCAGCCACACUGGAACUGAGACACGGUCCAGACUCCUACGGGAGGCAGCAGUGGGGAAUAUUGGACAAUGGGCGCAAGCCUGAUCCAGCCAUACCGCGUGGGUGAAGAAGGCCUUCGGGUUGUAAAGCCCUUUUGUUGGGAAAGAAAAGCAGCAGGUUAAUACCCCGCUGUUCUGACGGUACCCAAAGAAUAAGCACCGGCUAACUUCGUG